rnacentral:rRNA from 1 species
CCUACGGGAGGCAGCAGUGGGGAAUAUUGGACAAUGGGGGCAACCCUGAUCCAGCCAUGCCGCGUGUGUGAAGAAGGCCCUCGGGUUGUAAAGCACUUUCAGUGAGGAAGAACGCCUGGUGGUUAAUACCCAUCAGGAAAGACAUCACUCACAGAAGAAGCACCGGCUAACUCCGUGCCAGCAGCCGCGGUAAUACGGAGGGUGCGAGCGUUAAUCGGAAUUACUGGGCGUAAAGCGCGCGUAGGUGGCUUGAUAAGCCGGUUGUGAAAGCCCCGGGCUCAACCUGGGAACGGCAUCCGGAACUGUCAAGCUAGAGUGCAGGAGAGGAAGGUAGAAUUCCCGGUGUAGCGGUGAAAUGCGUAGAGAUCGGGAGGAAUACCAGUGGCGAAGGUGGCCUUCUGGACUGACACUGACACUGAGGUGCGAAAGCGUGGGUAGCAAACAGGAUUAGAUACCCUAGUAGUC